rnacentral:rRNA from 1 species
UACAGAGGGUGCGAGCGUUAAUCGGAAUUACUGGGCGUAAAGCGCACGUAGUCGGCUUGUCAAGUCGGGUGUGAAAUCCCCGGGCUCAACCUGGGAACUGCAUCCAAAACUACUGAGCUAGAGUACGGUAGAGGGUAGUGGAAUUUCCUGUGUAGCGGUGAAAUGCGUAGAUAUAGGAAGGAACACCAGUGGCGAAGGCGACUACCUGGACUGAUACUGACACUGAGGUGCGAAAGCGUGGGGAGCAAACAGGAUUAGAUACCC